rnacentral:rRNA from 1 species
UUUGCGCAAUGGGGGAAACCCUGACGCAGCAACGCCGCGUGAGUGAUGAAGGCCUUCGGGUCGUAAAGCUCUGUCAGUGGGGAAGAAGUGCAGGGGCGCUAAUAUCGCUUUUGCUUGACGGUACUCUAACAGGAAGCACCGGCUAACUCCGUGCCAGCAGCCGCGGUAAUACGGAGGGUGCGAACGUUGUUCGGAAUUCUUGGGCGUAAAGUGCGUGUAGGCGGUUUGGUAAGUCUGUUGUGAAAGCCCCGGGCUCAAACUGGGUAGAGCAUUGGAAACUGUCAUACUUGAGUUCGGGAGAGGGUAGAGUAAUACCAAGUGUAGGAGUGAAAUCCGUAGAUAUUUGGAGGAACACCGGUGGCGAAAGCGGCUACCUGGACCGAUAUUGACGCUGAGACGCGAAAGCGUGGGGAGCAAACAG